UGUAAGAUUUUCAAAUUAUACAAGUACGUGUCCAAGUGAGCAUGUCGAUUAUUCCGUAACGGAGGAAGUAUGCAUUUGUUUGAUGUUGUGGACUUCUUGUCAAGGUUGGGCUAACUUCUUGAUUUCAGACAUAAAGGCCAAAGCCAACUUCUUGACAUUACCAAACACAAAAACAAAAUGUCUAUUUUUCUGUAGAAUAAUGGCAUUAUCCAUUGAAAUCUUGUAGCUUAAUGAUGAGAUCUAGCUAAUGGAGCAAAGUGCCUUAACUUUUAUGAUUUUGCAAAGAGAUAAGCUAUUACUUCAUUAUAAAAUACAGAAAUUAGCCUACUAACUGACCAACCCUUUACAUGGAGCUUUACACUGGAUAGAUGUUAGCUGAUGAAGCUCUCCUCUUAAUUGAAGGUAUAGAUCCGAAAUUGCCAUCAAUAUCAUAUGGACAUAUUAUUGUACACAGGUGUACUAUGCAGUGUACUUGGCAUCAUCAAGGUGGUGGUGGGGUGUGGAUUGGAUUAGCUGACGGUGGUCCAUAAUCGUUUCUCUCAAAAUCCAUCCUACCCUUGAUAAAAUCGUCCUCCAUUUUAUCGUUUAAUAUAUACUGUUCUUGUUAGAAAACAGAACAUAAAAUUGUUACAGGAAAAGAAAAGACUGACACGUACGUGGUGUAUGAAUUGCAUACAAUCAUAUACGAAGAAGCAUAACAAAUACCUGUUGCAUUCUUCUGGUUACUACAAUUUCUCUUCUUAUAUUAGGGAGAUUGUUGAGCCCUGAUUUUGUUACACAAACAAUCAAACAAAUAUUAGUCAAGAAAAAGAUAUAAAAUGAUCAAUUAUUGAGAAUUUAAAAUGGUUUUUUCUGUAUUUUGAAUUACUUGAAACAAGAACUGCAUAGCCUGCAUUUGACGAAAUAAGGUAAAAACAAGCAAGCAUGAGCACAAAGAGAUGAAGCCUGUGGGCUGCCAUAAUAUUGCUUCACUUGAGGAAUAACUCGACGAUAGUUGGGGUACUAUAGAGGUUUGUACCUUUUGACAUUUUUAUAGUGUAGGCAAUGUUUGGAAGUUUAAGAUAUGAUAAUGCACAUUUGAUGCUUCUGAUAAUACAGAUAUUAUUAUUUGUUCAUAAUAUGAAAUCAUAUAUCUUUUGAUAGGUUUCCCUAUUGUUCCCCCCUCCUAAGUACAUGGCACGUACACAAUAUUUCUUGGUAUCUUAGUUAUUAUCAUAUCUGAUAUUUUUAUGAAAAUAUUUUCAUGUUAUCUUUUGUAUUCAAUUGAUGUAUAUCUUGUGAUUCAUGUGAAUCAUUAAUGAGUCAUAGAGAUCGUAUUAAGCCAAAAAAAAAAAAAAAA